rnacentral:rRNA from 1 species
GAGUUUGCGUAAGAUUAGGUAGUUGGUAGUUUAAAAGACUACCAAGCCGACUAUCUUUAGCUGGUUUGAAAGAAUGAUCAGCCACAUUGGGACUGAGACACGGCCCAAACUUUUUUAAAGGCAGCAGUGGGGAAUUUUGGACAAUGAGCGAAAGCUUGAUCCAGCAAUACCAAGUGAGUGAUGAAGGCUAAUUAGGUUGUAAAGCUCUUUCAUUAAGGAGGAAAAUGACAGUACUUAAAAAAGAAGUUCCGGCUAAUACCCGUGCCAGCAGCCGCGGUAAUACGGGAGGAGCGAGCAUUAUUCGGAAUGAUUAGGCGUAAAGGGUUUGUAGGUGGUUUUUUAAGUUGAAAAAAACAAAUUAAAGCUCAACUUUAUAAAUUUUUUCAAAACUGAAAAACUUGAGUAUAAAUAGAGGAUAAUGGAAUUUCUAUUGGAGGGAUAAAAUAUGUUGAUAAUAGAAGGAAGAUCAAAAGCGAAGGCAAUUAUCUGGGUAUAUACUGACACUGAGAAACGAAAGCUUGGGUAGCGAACGGGAUUAGAGACCCCGGUAGUCCAUGCUGUAAACGAUGAGUGCUCAUAUUUAGAAUUUUUAGAUAUUAAGCUAACGCGUUAAGCACUCCGCCUGAAAAGUAUAAUCGCAAGAUUGAAAUUCAAAGGAAUUGACGGGAGUCUACACAAGCGGUGGAGCAUGUGGUUUAAUUCGAUAAUACGCGCAGAACCUUACCAACUCUUGCUAAUUAAAUUAAAAAAUUUAUUUUAAUUUAAACAGGCGUUGCAUGGCUGUCGUCAGCUCGUGUUGUGAAAUGUUUGGUUAAAUCCUUUAACGAGCGCAACCCCUAUUAUUAGUUGCUAAUUUAUUUUAUUAUAUAAAAGCACUCUAAUAAAAAUGUCAAUGAUAGGUUGAAGGAAGGUAGGGAUGACGUCAAGUCUUCAUGGCCCUUAUGAGUUGGGCUACACACGUGCUACAAUGAUAAUUACAAUGAGAGGCAAUAAUGAUUAAAAAUUGGAGCAAAUCUUUAAAAAU